rnacentral:misc_RNA from 1 species
UCCGGUUUGGCACCGGCAGUCCCCCUAGAGUUCCCGGCUUUACCCGCUGGUAACUAGGGGCGGGGGUUGCGCUCGUUGCGGGACUUAACCCAACAUCUCACGACACGAGCUGACGACAGCCAUGCAGCACCUGUGCUAUGGUCCCGAAGGAGACCCGGUGUUUCCACCGGGUUUCCAUAGCAUGUCAAGCCUAGGUAAGGUUCUUCGCGUUGCGUCGAAUUAAACCACAUGCUCCAUCGCUUGUGCGGGCCCCCGUCAAUUCCUUUGAGUUUCAGCCUUGCGGCCGUACUCCCCAGGCGGGGCACUUAAUGCGUUAGCGCCGGCACCCGGGGGGUCGCUCCCCCAAGCACCUAGUGCCCAUCGUUUACGGCGUGGACUAC